GACGUAGGGCGCAAGCGUUGUCCGGAUUUAUUGGGCGUAAAGAGCUCGUAGGCGGCUCGUUGCGUCGGCUGUGAAAACCCGCAGCUCAACUGUGGGCUUGCAGCCGAUACGGGCGGGCUGGAGUUCGGUAGGGGAGACUGGAAUUCCUGGUGUAGCGGUGAAAUGCGCAGAUAUCAGGAGGAACACCGAGUCGGCGAAGGCAGGUCUCUGGGCCGACUACUGACGCUGAGAAGCGAAAGCAUGGGGAGCGAACAGG
rnacentral:rRNA from 1 species